CAUAUACUGAAAUAUGUU
rnacentral:snRNA from 1 species